ACAUCUCUGUGUCAAUACAGAACACAAAAUCAAACACCCUGCAAUAAAACAAUAAAACUCACUAAUCUGGAGAGAAGAUCUCAGA